rnacentral:tRNA from 1 species
AAAAGAGUAGCUAUCGACGGAAAGUGCUGCUUUUACAAUGCAGUGAUGUUUGUUAAACUCAAACCUCUUUUA